GCAGACGACACAACACGAAGAGGAAGAAGGAAGGAGACGGGAGCGGAGAGAGAGAGAGAGAGACGACCACACAAAUUUCUAAAUAUAAUAAGCGUUUUGCUGAUUGAUAUUAUUUUGUUUACCUCGCGUGUUAUUUAUUUAUUCUUUUUUUUAAUGGAUUGUUAAAUAAAAGGAGGUUUGGGAAAGAGAUAAGAAGGGAAGAACAAGAUGAUGAUAAUUCUGCUUCUCCAUUUUAUGAAUUAUAUUCGUAGAAAAGUGUUAGAGCGACUUUGGAUGAGGAAGAAGAGAGGGAUGUUAACGAAAUAUCGAUAAAGGAAACGAAAAAGGAGAAAGGAUGAUAAUGAUAAAGAUUUGAGAAAAAAGAGAUGAUCGGUGUGUAUGUGGUUCCUCCUCCUUUAUCGUUAUUUCUUGUACUUACGUAUUUAUCAGUGUUGUGUGGAUAACGAAGCGAAAAUAUGUGAUGAAUGUAUAUAUUUAUUUUCUUUACAUAUAUGGUAUAUGUACGUGAAAAAAGUAAUGAAGAAGAAAAUGGAUUCGAGCGUCCUAACGGAUGGCUUCUUUCCCCCAUAUUAUGGAAGACGGUCGAAGAAACCAGAUUUUAACUUCGGUUCUCCUGAGAGAAAUCUUAGGUGAUUCUUUGACCUACAGAAGAAAGUGAGAAAUAGAUUGUAUUAAUCUUAAGAGAAGUGUCAUUAGAGCCUGGUUUAUGACUAUGGUCAAAAGAUGGGUAUAUUUAAAAAAAUAUUUAUAUAUCUUUGUUUUCUAUAAAUGAUGAGUUCUUUUAGAUGCAGAAUGCUAUUGUAGGCACAAGUUAUAAGUUAUUUUAUUAAGCACAAGUUAUAUGUUAUUCAGUAUAAGUUGCUCAACUCUGUUGUUUUAUAUAAUUCCAUUUGUAAAGUGAUUCUCUAGUGCAAGAUUUUAUGCCAACUUUUGUCAAAUGAAGACUUUUUGUACAAAUAUGUCUCAUAUCAAUAGAUUUAAAAGCAAAACAUUGCAUGAGCAUUUAGUUUCCAAUAAUAGAAAUGCAUUUAUUAGGCUAAAGCAGUCCAUAAACUCAAAAAUCCCCCGAAUCCUUAUUACAUAAUUCAUUUGGGAUUAUACAGUAUAGUCGUGAGAGUCUGAUCUCAGUAGGUGUAGCACUGCACUAAAUUGCGUCCAUGACAUGACGUCUGGCAGUCAUGUCUCACUGAAGAUAGUGAUAGAACAAUUUUUAUCAUGUUGAAAAAUAGAAUGUGAAUGAGUAACUAACUGCGGUUACAUUGUAAGACGUAACUAUUAAAAUAUGAAUUAUUUUCAUCUCAUUCAUGUGUUAUUUUCUUUUACAUAAUUUGUCACAAUGAAAUGUUAUUCUUUUGCUUUUACUCUUUCAUUUAAUAAAAUUUAUUCAAUUACCUAUUUACUUGGUGUUGAUGAUGAAGGAAAACGGAAAUUAUGUAAGCAAAUUAUGCUAACUAAAUCAUUAAAAGCCCAUG